UCGUUGCACAUAUAGAACUAAUAGGAUGGAUAAACUCUGUGACACUGCUAAAGGAGAGUUACCGUUUCAGGUCUCUCCUCUUUAUUUGGUGGUUUUUCAGUUUUAUCUUCAACAACUAGUUCUUCAUCUGUCUGUUCAAUCGUUAGUUCUUCAGGUUUCUCUUCAAGCGCUAGUUCUUCAGCUGUUUCCUCCCCUACUAGCACUUGUUUUUCUUUAGUUGCUGGUUCUUCAGGUUUCUCUUCAGCUGUUGGUUCUUCAGGUUUCUCCUCAACUGGUUCUUCAGAUUUCUCUUCAACUGUUGGUUCUUCAGGUUUCUCUUCAAGAACUGGUUUUUCAGUUUUUUCUUUUACUGCAGGUUCUUCAGGGUUUUCCUCAACUUCUGAAAAGUGAGCAGCAUUAUUGUUUGUAAUGCUUGGAGUUUUACUUUCAGUUUUGUCGUUCGGGACUACAACUGGAAUACUCUGCAAGAAGAACUUUAAAGUCUUACUUAGUCUUUCAGUAGGUAAGCAUAUGUAAAUUGUAUCGUAUACACGACUAACAAGAUGGAUAAACUUUGUGACAAUGCUUGAUCCUCACCUUUUCCAGGAGAGUUAUCCUUUCAUGUUUCUCCUCUUCAAUUGUUUGUUCUUCAGGUUUCUCCUCAAUUAUUGGUUCUUCA
rnacentral:lncRNA from 1 species